UACGAAGGGGGCUAGCGUUGUUCGGAAUUACUGGGCGUAAAGGGCGCGUAGGCGGCCGUUUAAGUUAGGUGUGAAAGUCCUGGGCUCAACCUGGGAACUGCACUUAAUACUGGAUGGCUUGAAUUCGGGAGAGGAUAGCGGAAUUCCCAGUGUAGAGGUGAAAUUCGUAGAUAUUGGGAAGAACACCGGUGGCGAAGGCGGCUAUCUGGACCGACAUUGACGCUGAGGCGCGAAAGCGUGGGGAGCAAACAGG
rnacentral:rRNA from 1 species